rnacentral:sRNA from 1 species
GGUGAACCGGAAGGGCCAACAGGAGCUAGAGGCGCGCUUCGCUGAGGAAAUAAAUAUUAAUAUGGAAAACAACUUCAAUACUGAGUCAUCAUCUACUUUUACUCUUCAAAGUUCUUCAGAGACAUUGUUUUCUAUUCAGCUAUUAGAUUUCAAAACAAGUUUACUGGAGGCAUUAGAAGAAUUGCGUAUGAGAAGGGAAGCAGAAAUUCAUUAUGAAGAGCAGAUUGGUAAAAUUAUUGUGGAGACACAGGAACUUAAAUGGCAAAAGGAAACUCUUCAGAAUCAAAAGGAAACAUUGGCAGAGCAACACAAGGAAGCGAUGGCAGUUUUUAAAAAGCAGUUGCAGAUGAAGAUGUGUGCCCUGGAAGAAGAAAAGGGAAGAUAUCAACUUGCUACAGAAAUAAAGGAAAAAGAAAUAGAAGGAUUGAAGGAAACAUUAAAAUCACUACAGGUUUCUAAAUACUCUUUACAGAAGAAAGUGAGUGAAAUGGAACAAAAGGUCCAGUUACAUCUUCUGGCUAAAGAAGACUAUCAUAAGCAACUGAGUGAAAUUGAGAAAUAUUAUGCCACAAUAACAGGUCAAUUUGGAUUGGUAAAAGAGAAUCAUGAAAAGUUAGAACAAAAUGUACGGGAAGCAGUACAAUCAAACAAAAGACUUUCAGCUUUAAAUAAAAAACAAGAAGCUGAAAUAUGCAGUUUAAAGAAGGAACUAAAAAAAGCAGCCUCAGACUUGAUAAAGUCCAAAGUCACAUGUCAAUAUAAGAUGGGAGAAGAAAACAUCAAUCUAACAAUUAAAGAACAAAAAUUUCAAGAACUUCAAGAAAGACUCAACAUGGAAUUGGAAUUAAAUGAGAAGAUUAAUGAAGAGAUUACCCGUAUUCAAGAAGAAAAACAGCAGUUACUUCGGCAACAAAUUCAAGCUAAUACUGAAAUGGAGGCAGAAUUGAAGGUGCUAAAAGAAAAUAAUCAGACCCUUGAAAGAGAUAAUGAGCUGCAAAGGGAGAAGGUAAAAGAAAAUGAAGAAAAGUUUCUUAAUCUUCAAAAUGAGCAUGAAAAAGCACUAGGAACUUGGAAAAGACAUGCCGAAGAACUUAAUGGAGAAAUUAAUAAGAUUAAAAAUGAAUUAUCAUCCCUUAAAGAAACUCAUAUUAAGUUACAAGAACAUUAUAACAAAUUAUGCAAUCAAAAAACGUUUGAGGAAGACAAAAAGUUUCAGAAUGUUCCAGAAGUAAAUAAUGAAAACAGUGAAAUGUCAACUGAAAAAUCAGAAAACACCAUUAUACAGAAAUAUAAAACUGAGCAAGAAAUAAGGGAAGAAAAUAUGGAGAAUUUUUGUUCAGAUACUGAAUACAGAGAAAAAGAAGAAAAAAAAGGCUCAUUUAUAGAGGAAAUAAUUAUAGAAGGUAACCUUAAAAUUAUAUUGAUAUUUUCUAAUUUGUAUGUUGAUAUUUACGGUAAAUAUUUUUGGGAAA